AUUGAACGCUAGCGGCAUGCCUUACACAUGCAAGUCGAACGGAGUGGCGAACGGGUGAGUAAUGUAUCGGAAUGUGCCCAGUAGCGGGGGAUAACUACGCGAAAGGGUAGCUAAUACCGCAUACUAUUGGAGCGGCCUAUUUCGGAUUGGCUAGUUGGUGGGGUAACGGCUCACCAAGGCGACGAUCCGUAGCUGGUUUGAGAGGAUGACCAGCCACACUGGAACGGAGACACGGCCCAGACUCCUACGGGAGGCAGCAGUGGGGAAUUUUGGACAAUGGGGGAAAGCCUGAUCCAGCCAUCCCGCGUGUGGGAUGAAGGCCUUCGGGUUGUAAAGCACUUUUGGCAGGGAGGCGGUACCUGCAGAAUAAGCACCGGCUAACUACGUGCCAGCAGCCGCGGUAAUAC
rnacentral:rRNA from 1 species